GCGCAGCAGGCGCGAAACCUCCGCAAUACACGAAAGUGUGACGGGGCCAUCCCGAGUGCCGUCCGCUGAGGACGGCUUUUCCCCAGUGUACACAGCUGGGGGAAUAAGGAGAGGGCAAGCCUGGUGUCAGCCGCCGCGGUAAUACCAGCUCUCCGAGUGGUGGGGACGCUUAUUGGGCCUAAAGCAUCCGUAGCCGGCUGGGCAAGUCCUCCGUUAAAUCCAACGAUUCAAUCGUUGGGCUGCGGGGGAUACUGUCCAGCUUGGGGGCGGGAGAGGCCGACGGUAUUCCCGGGGUAGGGGUGAAAUCCUAUAAUCCCGGGAGGACCACCAGUGGCGAAGGCUGUCGGCUAGAACGCGCCCGACGGUGAGGGGAUGAAAGCUGGGGGAGCGAACCGGAUUAGAUACCCCUGUAGU
rnacentral:rRNA from 1 species